UGGGGAAUCUUGCGCAAUGGGGGAAACCCUGACGCAGCGACGCCGCGUGCGGGAUGAAGGCCUUCGGGUUGUAAACCGCCUUCAGCAGGGACGAGGCCUUAUGGUGACGGUACCUGCAGAAGAAGCCCCGGCUAAAUACGUGCCAGCAGCCGCGGUAAUACGUAUGGAGCAAGCGUUAUCCGGAUUCAUUGGGCGUAAAGCGCUCGUAGGCGGUCUGUUAGGUCGGCAAGUUAAAUCCGGGGGCUCAACCCCCGUCCGCUUCCGAUACCGGCAGACUUGAGGUUGGUAGGGGAAGGUGGAAUUCCUAGUGUAGCGGUGGAAUGCGCAGAUAUUAGGAAGAACACCGGUGGCGAAGGCGGCCUUCUGGGCCAUAACUGACGCUGAGGAGCGAAAGCUAGGGGGGCGAACAGG
rnacentral:rRNA from 1 species